GACGCGACUCAUUCUAAUAUAAUAGAAUCCAACAGCUGUGUUAUAGCAGUCAAUAUGAGCAGUGUAAAAUAAGUUUGGAUUUGUUUAAGUAAGAACGGCGCGGUCUCGGAGUAUCACACGUUUUGAUUGAUUUUGAGAAGGGAAAUUAAGGUAACCAAAUAAAUGAAAUACGGGGCGGACUGUCGGUCAUUUUGGAGAACUGCGUUUUGGGUGUAACUUUGCCCUUAUACCGGUAGUCGAAUGCACCCACGUCGGGGCCUCGGGAAGGGCUGGCUCAUGGCAGAGGGAGCAGUCUGCCCUAAAAUCCGGACCAUAAAACUCACCAGGAAAGCAAACAACUAUCCGGGACAACUGUGGAAUCGUAUUGGACCAUUUGAUGAACGCGCYCCGGGAUUUUUUGCUCUAUAUUGACGAGCCAGAUAGACCGUAAACACAGUUUUAAAGUUACAUAUUAUUUCAGCGGAAGGCUAUCAUUUUUUGCCUCGCUGCCUGCGUUGCUACUUCGCUACAAUCAAGCCGUUUUAGUGCGACCACACCCUCUCUGCUUCCUGAUACUAGGCAAUACAGAAUAUGUAGCGGGAGAGAGCACAACUGACUUUCAGUUUGGAAUCCCCACCACUCAUUUUUCAGUGAUGUCUUGUUGUCGACCGACAUGUUAGUUGUGAAAGAUUGUUUCAGAUGUGUUCAGGAGGUUAGGUCAUCAUUUCAACAGGGACACGACUGCUAUGGAUAUCAAAACCGAAACCCGACACAGGAUACUCCGGACAAGACGUUCACGCCCUGCGUUUUGCUAAGAAGUGCUUAUGGACAAUAGAUAUGCCUAUGGAAUCGAACCUGCCGGACGAACAAGUGUCUAUCACGGGACUGUGUAUGAAAAAGAAGAGGUUGAAAGUCGCGGGAGGGCCAGUGCAAUUGGCCUGUUGCGUUUUUGGAGCCUUCUGUUUGGAAAGACUCAUGUAAUGAUGAUGCAGGAAAGGCAGAGGGAGCGAGGAGUGGUCGAACGGAACUGUCUGGGUGGUACUCUCCUUGUAACUGUAAUGAGCCAGCCUCCCGGUCAAACUAGGGUGGUCAAAUUUAGUGGGAACUCUUCAACGGACAAUACGGUUCACAUACACCCUGCCUUCAAGCAAGCAGAGUGUCCCUCUCCAUUAGCCUGUGUGCCGGCUGGGAGGAGUGUGUGUGAGAGUGUGUUAGCACCACACACACACACACACGCAGCACACACACACACUCUAACGGCCAUGCCCCAGAGAUACUCCUACCAGAAGAGGAAAGCCAGCACGGCAGCAGCUCGGAGGAUGGAGAGGCGAGGCAGGGACUCUGGGAAGACCAACAACACCAACACUUGCCACAGCCACCGCUCCAAGAAGCUAGCCAUGCUCUCCAGGUAUGGAAUCUGUUUGUAGCACACAGCUCGUCAGGCUGGUUGAUUUGGUUAAAGCCAACGUGUAGCAGAAUUACAGGACGCUGGGUGCCUAAUGCCUUUUUGGUUGGAAUACUAGAGGUACAGUAGCAACGGUUUACCUUUUCCUUUCCCCUUUACUUCUUCUUCUUUUUCUUCUUCCCUCCAGGUCCCUGAUCCUCUGUCACUCCAGAGCCAGUGAUGACUGCCCCAGCCCCGAAGAGAGACCGCCAGGGGAGGCCUGGAAGGGAGACGGGGGCUUGGGGAGAGAUGGGAAGGGAAACAGGGAGGUGGAGAGGUCCCGGAAGAAGAUCCAGGAAGGACCCCAGGAGAGUGGAGGAACUAUGCAGGCAUCUACACAGCCACCCGUAGGGGCCACCAACACACUCAGGGCUACAGGAGAACACAAGAGGAAUAUGAGGAGGUCCUUCAGUAUCAAGGUAUGAAUGGGGGUUAUUUGCUUAUCACAUUAUGGCGUUUUGUUUGGACAUUUCAAUGAUAUAUUACAUCAUAAUGUGGCGCUAAGCCAACAGGGUUUCUGUUUGCAAAGUGGCAUUAACUAUGUAUGUCUCCUGGUCCUGAAUUAUGACUGUUAUGCACUAAGUGCUGUCUUUGCAUUGGCUGUUUUUAUCAAUGCAUUUGUAGAAAUAAUGUGAAAAGAUUUUUUAUGCACAUAAUAAUUGUUAAUGCACAUCAAACACAGUAUUACUUAACUAGGAGAACUAUGAUAAGAAGUCUUAAUGAAUCUGGAAAAACAAUAAAUGUAUGUCAGUYCCCCAGGCAGUGUAUUGGUCAGACAUGUAGAUCCUUUCUCAGCUGACAGCUAGGCAUCAAGAUGGAUUAGCAUACCGUGUUCAUACCGUACAUGUUGAGUGUUCAGGCUGUCACUGCUACUCCAAGAGGAAACAAGCUAAACACUCCGGCCUUCAAAAGCAUAUGACUUCCUUCUUGUUAUGUGUGGUGGGUAGAGAGUGUUAGUUGCUCAAAAGGGGUCUGAUACUCACUUGAAACACGGAACACGGACAUUCUCAAAAAUCAUGAAUUGAAGGCAAUGGGAAUUGUGAGGGGGAAAUGAAUGAUGCAUGUCGAUCUCAAGUUAGCUUCCGUCUCAAUAUGAAAAGCAUUUAGGAGAAAAAAUAUACAACACAGUAUUGUAUCUGAAGUUGAGUCCAGAGUAUGAAGAACUCUGGUCUGCCCAUAAUGUAGUCUGGAAUGUGUUCCUCUAGACAUCUCUGUCUGGACUGUGUUUCUUGUCAAAUGCAUAACAGCAAUCACAUGGCCUGUGUGUCAUAGGGCUGAGUGCUGCUGUUGGGCCUGUUUACCUCACACACAAGACAGUAUUUGUUGUGAACCAGGGAGGGAGAGAGGCAUUAGGCCAUAGUGGAAGUAGAGACAUGUUAACUUGCUAACACAAGGCUAUGAGGACAUGGCACUGAUGUCAUAGAGCCUCGGGACAAUGUGGCCAUGUUCAAAUAAUGAAUAAAUGCACCCUUCGUUCCUUCAUCCCUCCCCUAUUUGAGGUUAUGACUGGUCUGUUAGUCUUCCUCCUAGCUAUGUGUUAGAAGAUAAAAGCCUCACGUCUGUCAGUAGCUGUGAACUCACCUGGCUGAUUCUAUUCAGGCCAACCUUCAGCCAGAUUGAUGUCAGGAAGUAGAGUUCUGUAGCAGACUGAUUCUAUUCAGGCCAACCUUCAGUCAGAUUAUGUCAGGAAGUAGUGUUCCGUAGCAGACUGAUUCUAUUCAGGCCAACCUUCAGUCAGAUUGAUGUCAGGAAGUAGUGUUCCAUAGCAGACUGAUUCUGUUCAGGCCAACCUUCAGUCAGAUUGAUGUCGAAGUAGUGUUCUGUGCAGACUGAUUCUGUUCAGGUCAACCUUCAGUCAGAUUGAUGUCUGGAAGUAGUGUUCUGUAGCAGACUGAUUCUGUUCAGGCCAUCUUCAGUCAGAUUGAUGUCAGGAAGUAGAGUUCUGUAGCAGACUGAUUCUGUUCAGGCCAACCUUCAGUCAGAUUGAUGUCAGGAAGUAGUGUUCUG
rnacentral:lncRNA from 1 species